rnacentral:rRNA from 1 species
CCUGUUUAUCAAAAACAUGGCUCUUUGUUUUUUUACUAUGAGGAGUCGGACCUGCCCGGUGAAAAUAUUUUAACGGCCGCGGUACUCUGACCGUGCAAAGGUAGCAUAAUCAUUUGCCCUAUAAUUAAGGGCUAGUAUGAAUGGUUUGACAAGAGCAGCACUGUCUCUACAAAAAUUUCUAGAACUUAAUGUUCAAGUGAAGAAUCUUGAAUUAAAUUAAUAGACAAGAAGACCCUAUCGAGCUUAAAAAAACUAAGUGGAAUUUAUUAGAAACUAUGUUUAGUAUUCUUUUCCACUUAAAAUUUUGGUUGGGGCGACUAAGGAACAACUAAAGCUUCCUAAAUAUUCUUAACUUAUAGGUUUUGAUCCGAUUGUUUCGAUUAAAAGAAUUAGUUACCGUAGGGAUAACAGCAUAAUCCUUUUUGAGAGCCCAUAUCGAAAAAAGGGUUUGUGACCUCGAUGUUGGACUAGAAUAUCCAGAAGAUGCAGAAGU